rnacentral:rRNA from 1 species
AGUGACAAGAAAUAGCAAGCCAGGAGAUUCUUCUCUACGGCAUUGAAAUGAGAACAGUGUAAAUCUCUUAGCGAGGAACAAUUGGAGGGCAAGUCAGGUGCCAGCAGCCGCGGUAAUUCCUGCUCCAAUAGCGUAUAUUAAAGUUGUUGCAGUUAAAAAGCUCGUAGUUGAACUUCUGCCUAUUUAGCUGGGU